UACGUAGGGUGCGAGCGUUAAUCGGAAUUACUGGGCGUAAAGCGUGCGCAGGCGGUUAUGUAAGACAGAGGUGAAAUCCCCGGGCUCAACCUGGGAACUGCCUUUGUGACUGCAUGGCUAGAGUGCGGCAGAGGGGGAUGGAAUUCCGCGUGUAGCAGUGAAAUGCGUAGAUAUGCGGAGGAACACCGAUGGCGAAGGCAAUCCCCUGGGCCUGCACUGACGCUCAUGCACGAAAGCGUGGGGAGCAAACAGG
rnacentral:rRNA from 2 species